rnacentral:rRNA from 1 species
UAGUGAGUUUGAUCCUGGCUCAGGAUGAACGCUGGCGGUAUGCUUAACACAUGCAAGUCGAACGGAGUACUUCGGUACUUAGUGGCGGACGGGUGAGUAACGCGUGAGAAUCUGCCUUUUGGAUCGGGACAACCACUGGAAACGGUGGCUAAGACCGGAUGUGCCGAAUAGGUGAAAUAUUCAUAGCCAAAAGAGGAGCUCGCGACCGAUUAGCUAGUUGGUGGGGUAAGAGCCUACCAAGGCUGCGAUCGGUAGCCGGUUUGAGAGGACGACCGGCCAC